GAGCAGAGAGUCUCACAUGUCC
rnacentral:siRNA from 1 species